rnacentral:lncRNA from 1 species
UUUUUUUUUUUUUUUUUCCUUAACAUUUGGGUUAUUACCGUUCGCAACGAGCGGUUACGUUGGACCGUUUCACUUUUGGGUGGAAUUAACUUUUGUCAUUACACAAGUUUUAUUCCACAUUUAUUAUAAAUAACAUUAGCAUACAUAAAUAAAACUAUCAUCUCUGUUGUAACCACCCAAUUAAAAAUUUACUAUUUCAUGGUCCGAAUAAAAAUUAUGAGAAAAAUAUUCAAGAUGUUUAUCAUGUCAAGUAGUAAUUCAAAUUAAAAAUUUGAAUUGUUUUACAAAGAAUGGUUGAAAUUAAACAACAAUAAAAUUGGUCAAAAAACGAAUAUAGAUAUAAGAAAAUAAUAUUUUUCAAGACCAAAAUAAAAAUAUCCUACUACAACUGAUAAUCACAUUCCCAGCCAAGAAAACAUAACACAUUAGAUAACGAUUAAAUUGCAUUUCAUGCGGUGGAAGCUUUGUCAUAUCAAACUUUUAAAUCCUCAGAUAUACAGGAUCAUAAAUGAAUUUUUUUUUUUUUUUUUUAAUUUGUAGUGGUCUAACACAACCAAACAUAUAAAUUCUUUAACACUCACACAAUUCCGAACCAAACACACAAUCCCAACGAUGCGCAUAAACUGAAAACGAUCGUUUACAACAGAGUCCAAUUGACUUCGCAUAUAAAUGUUUGACAUUGUUCUUACAGUGGCCAAACAAAGUAAUUAAAAAUUGUUUAACUGCCACAAUGGUCAAAAAAUAUAUUCGUUAACGUUUGAUAAAUAUAUAAAUCUGUUUAAUAAAAAUUAGAACAACAAAAUCUGACCAAUCGAUAAACCAUUUUUUUUCUUUUUUUUUUUUUUUUAAAAAUAAACGCCUUCUAAAGAUGUAUUCGAAUAGAAUUGAUAAACUUGUCCAAGCGUGAUAAUAGAAACUUUUCUGAUUUGAAAAAGCAAAUGCUAAGUAAAAUCAACACUUAAUAUUGGUUGAAAAAGUAUUGGUUUUCUUUAAAAACAAUCAAAAAAAGUUUCAAAUAAGAAUUGAAAAAUUCUUUAAAACACAUAAAAAGAAGAAGAAAGAACAUAAACAUAAAUAAUGGCACUUACAAAUUAAUUAAGGAACAGAAUUUAAUAUUGCUUGAGGCCUGAUUAGAUUCAGUGUCCUUAAGUCGUUGACGACCCGCACUUGGUACUCCACGGAAUAUGCCGUACACUCCCAGGAUACAACAGCUGCGAUCUUAUGAUAGUAAGUAUACUCCAAAUCAGAAGAUCAAACGGCGGACCUUUAAGUGUUUUCUCUCCCUCUUUUAAAAAAAUGUAUACUAAUGCAGACUGAUAUUCGGCCUUUAAUACUGUUUCAAUCUCUAUUUUUAUAAUCCCUUAAAUGAUGAUGAUUAUGAAGUUUAAAUAGAAGUUAUUGCACCUCUUAGAAGAGCAUGGUGCCUUUUGGGUGGAUCACACCUCUUAGAAGGCAUAAUCCCCUGCGGCCCAUAAAGCACCAUUUGGCAUAAAUCUUAAAUGUUGUGACCAUUUUCUAAGAAAAGAAAAAUUCGGAAAGAAAGUGUAAUUUUCUUUGUAUAAACAAUUUCUCAUUCAAAUUGACCCAAAUUCUAACAGGAAAGUCGUUUCCCAGAAAUAGCUCGGCGGCCUAUCUCAUUAUUUCUAUACUGCAGCUAGGGUAUUGCCGAAUUUCUGGACGGUGAUUGCACUUGCUCCCGCCGCGAUUCUAUCGUAGGUGUCUAUUCUCGAUUUUCCGUAUAUCAUCUCUCUCACAAGAACCCCACACGCAGUUAUCAAAAAAUUACUCUAACCAUAAUUGUCCAAAAAUAGAAAAAAUAAAAAUAUAUGUAUUAUGAACACAACAUGAGUCGUGAGAAGUGAGAAACAAUCACGAGCAAGCGAGAGUUUGGUUAAGAAAAGGUCAACCUAUCAGGGCGAUGGUUGGCGGAGAAGGUGGAGGAAACGAUCAGUGGGAGAAAGUAGGGAAUGGUUAAACGCCACGUGUACGGUGGAGUGUAAACAUCGCUUGAGAAAUAAUCCACUGCGUUACAAACCAGAUGGGCCCUACCAGAUAGAUCUAGGAUUUCAAUUUCUUAGAAAAAUUUUAUUUCCACCGCCUUGACAACCUGAACCCAGACGUGACUGAUAAAACCCCUACCCCUCCAAUCCUCCCAAACUCCCAAACCUUUAUUUUGCCAUUAAUUUUUGAGAAUUGAUCAGACGGGUUCGAACCCGGAUAUUCCACGGGCUGCCCACGUGGCUGCUCAUACCACCCAGUGUGGGUAAUGGGACAAAUUUUUUUUUAUUUUUUUUUAAGUCCAUCCACCCUCAAAUGAGUGGAUUGAGCAGCCACGCUGGGCAAGCCCGUCUGAUCGUUCUCUAAUUUUUUAAUUAAUGUUUUUUAAUACCACCUCUGAUUAUUUAUAAAAAAAUUAAUCACAAAAAUUUUUUAAUUUCUUUUUAUUUCAGUCACCUUUUGAAUUUUGAUAAAAAAAUUAUAAUAAAAUUUUAUAAUUUCUUUGACUCUCGACCUCGAUUUUUUAAAAAAGAAAAAAUAUGAAUCAAAUUUUUAUAAAUAUUUUUUUUUAAAUUUCUCUCAAUUUAUAAAAUUUAAUGCAAAACUAAUUAAACAAUAUUUUUUUUGAAAUUAUUAAAGAUAAAAAUUUAAAUUUGUUAUUUGAGACUAGUUCAAAAAUAACAAUAUUGCUCUUAUGUUUCAGACUUUUAAAAAAUAAUCUUUGUUAUCAAGAAUAAUUUUUAUUUUAAAAUUAAUCUAAAUAUUUUACUUUUUAAGUACCACCUUCCUAAAUAUAUUUAAAAAAUAAUUUUGUUAGUAAAUAUUUUUUAAGAAAGAGUAUUUAUUUAUUUCAAUUAGUUUAUUGAGUAAAGAAAUUUAAAAGUUCUAAAUAUAAUAUUAUUUUUAUUCAUAAAUUAACUCUAAAAAAAUUCAAUAAUAAUUUUAAAACUAAGGAAAAUCAGUUUAAUUUAACCUAAAAUAAAAGGAAGUGAUGGAUGUUGAUAGGAUGGAAGUCAGUCCUGUUGGUGGGGAAAAGAUGGGACCGUAAAGAAAUUGCAAGCCUUUAUUCCCAACUCCUAGACAUGGGUUGUGAGAUAAUGUGAUGGGUUGUCUGAAUUUUUAUCCAAUUUUACCCUUCUUCUCUUUUCUCUCACCCAUUAUUUUUUUUUAAUAUUAUCUACUAAUUAUUUUUUUAAUUUUUUUUAUUUUUACUUUUUGAAUUUUUAUAUAAAAAAAAUUAUGAUAAAAUUUUAUAAUUUCUUUUACUCUCACCUCUAGUUUUUUAUAAAAGAAAAAAAUAUGGAUCAAAAGUUUUAAUAUUUUUUUUAAAUCUCUCUCAAUUUAUAAAAUUUAAUGCAAAAUUAAUUAACAUAUUUUUUUUGAAAACACUAAAGCGAAAAAUUCAAAUUUGUUAUUUGAGACUAUCCAAUUUGUUGACAAAUUUUCUGAUAAAAUCUUAGAUAAAAAUCAAUUAUAAAAGUUUCUAAGAUCUCUUAAUUAUAUAGUUGAAUUUUAUAAAAAAGUUGAGUUUUCACAUUUAUUUAACUAUAUUAGUCGGAUUUUUUCAAAUGUUGUCCUUUUUUAAUGUUCCGAUUUCUCUAGUCACGGUGAAUUGUAAAGCAAACAAUUUUUUUCACAAAAUAAAAAAAAUAAAUUAAAAUAAAUAUAACAAGAUACAUACCAAAAUCGAUAAUAAAAAAAAAAAUAAAAGAAGCUCAACUUAAUGUUUAAACAGAAGAAAUUGCAUUUGUUGUUGUCUUAGAAUGUUUACAUGAGUCACAACUAGCUCGAUUUGUCGAUCAUGAUGAGUAACUUUCUUUUUGGGGGGGGGGCCGAGAUGGCUUACCCCUCUCCCUCUCUUUGUGAAGUGUGAUGGGUGGAGUGCGGUAGAGACAUAUUUAUUCAAGAUCAUUAUAGGCAUAUCAAAAUAUUUAAGCAAACAUGUGAAAAUCAUAUGGUACUUUCGGUCCACCUAAGUAACGACACCUGACAAAAAUUUCAAGUUGAUAAAAAUUCAAAGAAUAAGGUAGUAAAUUGUUACGAUUUUUAGUUUAAGAGGUAAAAUUGCAUUGAGUCAUAGUUUGAGAGGGUAAUAAUCAUAGUUUGAGAGGGUAAUGCGUAAUUUACCUUUAUUUCCUUUUCAAAGAAAGAUGGUAGUAGUGAAAAGUGACGAGGAGGUUGCAAUCAAUAGAUUAGCUAACAAAUCUUUCAAGGAAAAAGCGCAAAGGAGAGAGUCACGCUCCGUUUGGCACUAAUUUUUUUUAAUUUUUUUUUUGUUUUUUUACUUAAAAUAAGUAAAAAGGCCAAUUAGAAUUGAUUUUUUUGUUAUUUUUUUUUUUCUGUUUAGUUUUAGCUAAAGUAAAGCCACAAAAGCAAAAAAUUUAAAAAAAACUUGGCUUUUUGAUAGCAAAUUUAAAAGAAGUUUAAAUUUUAAGCAUUACCAAACGGAGCCUCAGUAUCAAAAUGAAAGCCCAUGUUUAAGUUACAACUAUAUGAUGGUUCUAGUUAAAACAAUAUUAAAUCACUUUAUUUAUUUAUUUGUGUUUAUUAAUCCAUUUGAUAGAAGGGUUCUGCUACUGGGUUUUCAAUAAGAAGCAAAAAAUGACAAAUUUUUUUAAUUUUUAUACACUUUUCAUACUUUUUAAUACACUUUCAUAUAUUCAUAUACACUUUUCAUACUUUAAACAAAGCCCACUGAAUUUCUUUUAGCAUUUCCCUUGAAAUAGAAAAGAGAGUAACAAAACCGGAUGCAGCUCAUAGUCACAUCGGUACAAUUCACUCUCGAAAAUUAUGUAAUUAAAAAAUAAAUAAAUAAAUAAAUAUAUAUAUAUAUAUAUAUGAUCUGACAUCGGUAACGAAUUAAAUAUUGUGGUUUUAAUUGUAUGAAAUCUAACUUUGAAAUUUUAAUAAGCCAUAAUUCAAGUCAUUCAUUAGCUUUUGUUUUUAUAGGGUUGAUAAAACCAGCUGGCACAUGACAAAAGCUUUGAGAAAUAAUACCAUUC